GAUGAACGCUGGCGGCGUGCCUAAUACAUGCAAGUCGAGCGAACAGACGAGGAGCUUGCUCCUCUGACGUUAGCGGCGGACGGGUGAGUAACACGUGGAUAACCUACCUAUAAGACUGGGAUAACUUCGGGAAACCGGAGCUAAUACCGGAUAAUAUAUUGAACCGCAUGGUUCAAUAGUGAAAGACGGUUUUGCUGUCACUUAUAGAUGGAUCCGCGCCGCAUUAGCUAGUUGGUAAGGUAACGGCUUACCAAGGCAACGAUGCGUAGCCGACCUGAGAGGGUGAUCGGGCACACUGGAACUGGGACACGGUCCAGACUCCUACGGGAGGCAGCAGUAGGGAAUCUUCCGCAAGGGGCGAAAGCCUGACGGAGCAACGCGGCGUGAGUUAUGAAGGUCUUCGGAUCGUAAAACUCUGUUAUUAGGGAAGAACAAAUGUGUAAGUAACUAUGCACGUCUUGACGGUACCUAAUCAGAAAGCCACGGCUAACUACGUG
rnacentral:rRNA from 1 species